AACGAACGCUGGCGGCAUGCCUAACACAUGCAAGUCGAACGAGACCUUCGGGUCUAGUGGCGCACGGGUGCGUAACGCGUGGGAACCUGCCCUUAGGUUCGAAAUAACUCCCCGAAAGGGGUGCUAAUACCGGAUAAUGUCUUCGGACCAAAGAUUUAUCGCCUUUGGAUGGGCCCGCGUUGGAUUAGCUAGUUGGCAGGGUAAAAGCCUACCAAGGCGACGAUCCAUAGCUGGUCUGAGAGGAUGAUCAGCCACACUGGGACUGAGACACGGCCCAGACUCCUACGGGAGGCAGCAGUGGGGAAUAUUGGACAAUGGGCGAAAGCCUGAUCCAGCAAUGCCGCGUGAGUGAUGAAGGCCUUAGGGUUGUAAAGCUCUUUUACCCGGGAUGAUAAUGACAGUACCGGGAGAAUAAGCUCCGGCUAACUCCGU
rnacentral:rRNA from 1 species